UCCUAGCCUAAUGGUGCUAGGAUAUAAUAGUCUUAACCACCCAAGUUACCACUGUGGAUGAAUAAAUGGUGCAGUAAUAAAUCAUAAAUUCCUAACAGGCAGGUCAUGGUGAAUAGUCACUCCCUAGGCAUAUAACAUUUUAGUAAAAGGCUUAUCUUUGUCUUAAGCAAGCCCUGUCUAUUGUUUUUGUGCAUCUAGGUGAUCACACCUCUGAAAUCCUUUUCUUCAGAGUCCUCCUUCUAAAAUAUAACCACUCCCAAGGGAGCAAAUAGUUUUAAGUGUCCUUUAGUCGAAUCCCACUUUGCUUUCUCCCACCUUCACAUAAUCUUCUGUAAAUUCCAUGCUUAAUUCCAAAUGCAUAAAAGAACUGCAAAAUGUUUAUCACCGGAGCAUUUGAGAUUCUUCUCCCUGGCGUAUGUUGUCAGCUUGGCUCAAACUUAUGAAAACUCUACAGAUUUGGAUGUUUCUUACGUGGACAUUGCAGAGAACUCAUCCCAAGUGCUCACCAAGCAGAGCAGGAAGUCAGAGCACAGGGUUCCUUCCUCAUGUGGGGAACAUCUCUCAGUAUUACUGGCACAAGAGAUAUUUGGGGUACACAGACAUCUGUGCUCUGACAGCUUUAAGCUGAAGACUUUUUUUUUUUUUUUUUUUUUUUUUUUUUUUUAGUGUGGUAACAAGAAAUUUGAAUCAGCUUCUCUUUAAGGGAAUAUCGUGACUAUCACGGUUUCUAAUUUUAAACAGAAAAUCCAUUUUCCACCAUCAUCCUUGAUCAGAAGUAGCCUUUUUGAAAAACUGGAGGGAAUGCAGGAUUCUAGUGAAUUCACCUGAUCUCCAGAGAGUACAUUUUAAACAAUACAGGAAGUACUUGAGGAAAAUGAAAAUGCAUUGGUUUUGAGUUCUCUUUCCUGGGGAAGGCCAGAAAAAGCUGCAGAUGGGGGAGACGAGAGGAGGAGGGGGUUGGGGGAAAUCCCUCGGAAGUCAUUUUCUUGAGUAUCAGAGAGGAGAAAGGAGUAUAAAGACCAGCUGAAGAAGUGGGACUCCUUGAUGAAAUUCUUGUAAUAAACUCCCAUCCCGACGGUGCUGCAAGUGGUCCGUGGAAUCCAAGGCCUGGGCAGCUGUAGGGAAGAAUGGAGAGUGCCAAUUCCUGCCUCUGAGCAAGGGCAGAGACUUUGCUGGUCCUCUGCAAAGCAUCCUCGGGCCAACAGCGCUCCACACAUUUUUCUGAGACUUUGGAUCAUUUGCAAUUUGCCCCACGACUCCCACACAUUUGCCUCUUAGUGUCCCAAAGCUCUCGCUGCUGCAACGUUCCCAUAGGAAUGUGGACGACUGCCAAGCGACCUCAUGAACAUUCCAUUCAUCUCCUUGGCUGGGAGGCAGCAAGGAAACCAAAGGGGCUGGUUGUUUAACUGUUUGGGUCCCAAAUUCACCCUGAAAUGAAUGGUCAUGCUUGUUGAACUUUUCCAACAAUCAUGCAGAAAAACAGAAGAUAAAAACCAAAGAGAAUAUGCAUUUAUUCAUAUGAUCCCAUCUGAAAAACAGCUAUUUUUAAAGCAAACACAGCAAAAUACAGCCAUCCAAAUGAAGGUUGUUAUCUUCCAAGCAAUUCUAAGAUGCUCAAACAUGUGAAAAUCCUUUUAGGGAAUUACUGGCUAAGUAUUGCUCUCACUGUUUUGCUUUCUGUUGAUCAUUCACUCUGCAUGUAUUAGACACCUCCUGGGUGCCAAGCACUCUGCCAGGCCCAGGGUAUAGAGUGAGAAGAGAGAUGCAAUCUCGUUGCAUGUUUGAUGAAGGAGGCCCCCAGGAGCUGGUGGAAAAAGUUAGCCCAACCUCGGUUUGAAUCCCAGUUUAGCCUGUGUGGAUUGUGUAACCUCAGGCAACUUUCCUAAACUCUUUGAGUCACAAUGUCCUCAUGUCUAAAAUGAAGGUGGUAAAAUUGACUUCAUAGGAUUGCUUUGAGGAGAAAAGCAGAUAAAAUGUUUAAUAACUAGCCAUUGCAGCGACCCAUACAGUACAGAGUAAUUGCUCAGCAGUUGAGUGUUCCUGUGAUUAUAAUUGCUUGAUUUGCUUAGUUAGUUCAACCAUCUCUUUUGGGGGAUUAGACUCUGAAUGCACUUUUGAAAAAAAAUCAAACGUUUUAUUAUGUGUAUAUGGGUAAUACAAAGUACAAAAUUCAAAGUGUACAAACAUUAGGUGAUGGAAAUGAAAACUUCUUUCUUCUCUCACUCCUCUGCUGCUUGUUUUUCUCCCUGGAGAUAACCAGUAUGACCAGGAUCUUGUAUAUUUACAGAUUUAAUUAUAUUUCUUGAAGAUAGGUUCAUAACAAUACAUUGAUUCCUACUACAUUUUUAAAUGAUUAUGUGAUGUUCCAUUGACUGAAUGUAUCAUAAUUGAUUUAGCCAGUUUCCUAUUGGUCAACAUUUGUUUCUAAUCUUUGGCCAUAACAACAAUGCAGCAAACACUCUCCUUGUGCUCAGCUUUGACUAAGAAUAAUUAAACCACAGCAGCUCCAGGCAACAUCAUUAGAACAAGGCGACUGGUUGGAAGCAGAGAAUGAUGACCCAAUUGGGUACAUUCUGGAUUGUUUUCUCAAAAUACAUCUCACUAUUCUGUUCCUGGAAUAUUCAUACUAUUCCCCAAAUGCUACCUACUGGAAAAGUGCAGAGUCCGCAUAAUAAUAUUACAAGAACUGCCCUGCUUGGCUCAGUGGUUAAGCCUAAAUAUGAACCAGGAGGUCAUGGUUUGAUUCCCAGUUGGGGCAUGUGCCCGGGUUGCUGGCUUGAUCCUUAGUAGGAGGUGUGUGGGAGAGGUCCAAUCAAUGAUUCUCUCUUAUCAUUGAUGUUUUUCUCUCUCCCUUCCCCUCUGAAAUCACUGAAAACAUAUUUAAAAAAAUAAUAUUACAAGAAUGGUAGCAUCCACCCAAAAACCUAUAUAAUUUUAUUAACUAAUAAAGAAAAACAAUGGUGACAUUCUAGUUCAGACAUGAUGUCAUGCAACCCCUCCAAGAUCUAUAAUAAAUGGACACAUUUUCCUGUGGUUGGCACCAAAGAGUCAAGGAUGCAGAGAUUCCAGACAGCCUCUCCAGAAGCAGCUGUUAAGAAGAGUUGCACUCCAAUUUGCUGCCUCAGCUUGAAACAGAGAAAUGUAUUAAAAUGUGCCACAUUGGUUAACAUGGGUUCAAUUAGAUGAAGCCUGCCAAUUUGGAAGCAGGACAAGUGUUCCUUGGUGGCCAUCUUUGCGUAUGUCCAGGCCCGCACCGGCUGUGUGUGGAAUUGAGUCAGAGAGAACCCAUACAUGAGGUUCUGGCACAAUCCAAGCACAACUGAAACCUGGGGAUUAGCCUUCCUGGAUGAAUCCUUAUUUCUGAAUCACGAGAAAGGCUCACGUGAACCAGGCGGCAGGGGAAUGGAAGUCUUUCUAAGAAGUCUCCUCCGUCAGACGUGCACGCGGAUCCUGAAAUGAGCUCCAUGCAAAUGAAAACCGGUCCCAAGGACAUCUUGAGCCAAAGAAAAUUCUUGGUUGGGGUUGAAAAAAUGUCAGAUAAAUAGUUUCUCCUUGCUUCUCAGCGGGCUCCGGCUAUCGCUGCGAUCCAGAUCUGGCCUCCGAGCAGUUCUGGCAGGUUUAUCUUGGACCAGCUGCUGUGAUGAAAUCGCAGUAAUUCCAGGUUUCCCUCAAAUCUAGACUGAGCCAAAGGCAAUCUGGGCUUCUAGCAUUCGGCUGACUUCACUGCCUCUCUCCAGUCCUUCCUCAGAUUUCAAGCUUCUGAUUUUUUUUCUUUUUUUAACUGAGACAGGGGUGGUGGAGGAACCCCUUCCAGUGCAGCCCAGAAAUGUGGGAAAUGUUUAUUUCAGGUUAAUCCAGGAAACCUCUGUGAAGCACCAGUGAGUGUUUAGGUAGGCCACCUGGUGUGACACGGACUGACAUGGAUUAUGUAUCCUACAAUAUGCCAGCCUAUCCAUCAGGCUUCCUACACAAAAGAUCUCACUUAAUCUACCAACAGCACUAUGAGACAGAAACUGUUAUUCCUAUUUUCCAAAAGAGCAUGGUGGGUCUCAGCAAGGUUGAGUCUCUUCCUUGAACUCGCAACUGGUGUUUGAACCUGGCCCUAGCCUGAGUCUCAGGCCUCUGCUUGUUCUCACAUAAGUAAGAAGGCUUUAGAUAGAGUACAGGAAGAGAGACGAUGAUAAGAAAAACUGAGUCGAACAAAAGGGAGGAAACUGAGACCCGGAUGAGAGAAGGGCAAGAUGGGUGAAUAGAGUCUGCUCAUCCUGAGCCCAACCUCUGAAGCCCUUUCGGACCCUGGGAACCCUGUGGGAGGCUGUAGAUAAAAGGGGGGUUCUAUAGGAGGUAAGCUCACAGGGUGGCCUGAUCAUAAAUUCCCAACUGAGCAGGUCAUAGUUGGUAGUCACACCCCAGGCAUAUAUGUUUUGAGAAAAGGCUUCUCUUUGCCUUCAGCAAGCCCUGUCCAUUGUUUCUGUGCAUCUAGGUGAACACACCUUUGAAAUGCCUCUUUUCAGUCCCUUCCUUCUAAAGCCUGACCACUCUCAAGAGAGCAUAUCAUCUUGUUAGCUGUCCUGUAUUUGAACCCUACUUUGCUUCUCCCACCCUCAUAUAAUCUUCCUUAAGUUCCCUCCUUAAUUCCAAAUGCAUAAAAGAAACAUUUAUAUUCUCUGGAGCAAAUUAAGUCUUUCUUCCCAGCAAUUGUCGUCAGUUUUGACUCAAAUAAACUCAUAAAAGUUCUGCAGGUUUGGAUGUUUAUGGCCACAAAGUUGUUGUCCAGAUGUCACCAGAAAGUACUGAUUUGGGAACGUCUAGCAACUAGCACAGAAACUGGGGUGCACUGAGAAGGUGCCCGUUGCUCUUUGCUCCUAAGGAAGACGAGAAGGCUUCUUGGGAGCCUUUGAUGUAUUAUAGAAGUAACAUGUGCUCGAGGAGCUCAGUUCCAGACAUGGUGACCCAAGGCUCUGUGAGACCUGCAGUGGGACUCAUCGGGGUUUCUGUAGGGAUUUUAUUGAAUUUCUUAACAUUCCUUUAAAACAGGUUUUCUGGCCCUAUGUGCUUUUGAGUGUCAACCUAUGAACCUGGAGGUCAUGGUUCAAUUCCCGGUCAGGGCACGUGCCCAGGUUGCAGGUUUGAUCCCCGAAAAGAGGCGUACAGGAGGUAGCUGAUCAAUGUCUCUAUCUCUCCCUCUCCCUUCCUCUCUCUCUAAUAUCAAUAAAAACGAAACAGGCUUCCUGGGCUAGAUGCGUGGCUUGCUGCCCAUCCCUUGGAUUCCUGGCUCCCAAGAGGCUGGAGGCAGGUCUGUUGUGGGACACAAAGUAACCUCCGCCAGGAGAGGAGGAUGGAUGCUGAGCAGAGUGCACCUCAACAGCAGCCACAGCUUGUGAUGGUGAAGGAGCAGAAUUUUCGUAGAGCCAGUGGGACCCUGAACCAUACGAUGGAUUGAGAAAGACAUGCCUCUCAUUUUCACCUGGGGCAUUUUCUUGGGAUCAGCGCCAGAAGGCUCAGAGCUAUCAGAAGGCUGGUGUUAACAAUGCUAUGACAUUCAGAAUGGAGGAACUGCUGAAUUCUAGAAAGGACUCACCUGGGAAAAUUUAUCUAAAAAUGAAGAGAAAGGGAGUGUUUCACUUCCCUGCCUGUGGGUUCUCCCUGGCAUAUUUCCAGCUGAGGAGGGGAGACAUUUUAGUCUUUGGAUUGUUUUGUGGAAAACUUUGUGUGACUCAUCAAAGGCCAGAGGAAAAUAAUGAAACUGCUCAACUUUGCAUCUCUUGGGCAGGCAAGGUCAGCCCCCACUAAGUAGAGCGGAAAAAGGUAAGGAGUGAUGAAUAAAUAUUAAUCUUAUGACAAUAACUCUUGAGACCUAUAUAUCCACAUAUUAGCUUAACGUUAUAUGUUUUGUUUUUAAUUGGUAAGCUAGCAUAUUCAGUAGAGUGAGGGGCAUAGAGAAGAAGAUUGAGAGACGGUGGGCUCUGAGUUUGGGUCUGACACCCAUGAGGCAUGAGACUUUGGGCAAGUUACUUCUUGCUCAUCAGUGUCACUUUCUUGUCUGCCAAAUGGGAUACAAAACAACAAUAACAACAAAACUGAGUCUUGACAUGAACAUUGUAUAUUCCCAAAUGCCUAGCACAUCAUGUGUGCUAAGUAAUACAGCAACAAUGAAGUAUCCUAUAUAAUAA